rnacentral:rRNA from 1 species
AACGAACGCUGGCGGCAUGCCUAACACAUGCAAGUCGAACGAGACCUUUGGGUCUAGUGGCGCACGGGUGCGUAACGCGUGGGAACCUGCCCUUAGGUUCGGAAUAACUCCCCGAAAGGGGUGCUAAUACCGGAUAAUGUCUUCGGACCAAAGAUUUAUCGCCUUUGGUUGUGCCCGCGUUGGAUUAGCUAGUUUGUAGGGUAAAAGCCUACAAAGGCGACGAUCCAUAGCUGGUCUGAGAGCAGGAUCAGCCACACUGGGGCUCAGAAACGGACCAGACGCCUACGGAAGGCAGCAGUGGGGAAGAUGAGAAAAUGGGCGAAAGCCUGAGCCAGCAAUAGCGAGAGAGUGAUGAAGGGAGUAAGGUUGAAAGGCACUUUUACACGGGAAGAUAAUGAGAGUACCAGGAGAAUAAGCACCGGCUAACUCCGU